CGCGGCCCGAUACAGUGAGUAAGGUGCGCGCGGGAUACCGACAGCACCACGCUCCCUCCCCACAUACCCUCUCCGCCUCCCUCACUCCCACCUUUGAGGCAAGAAAGUACUAUCCCACUCAACUUAUGAUGAUAAAACCGCUCUAUUUCACUCAACCAGUAGUUCAAUUCUUCCUUAUUUUUUUAAACAGCUGAGGAGAACAUAGCACAGAACUUGGACAUCGAGGUGACUUCACAGGACAUCACUACUAAUGACAACGAAAACAAAGUCAAAUCGAGUAGAAAUGCAGAGAUUUUCCCUUUAACUUCUGCAUUCAUUGAAAAACUCUGACUGCUGUGGACUGGAAUAAAAAAAAUCAUACUAGAAUGAAAAGAACUUGUAGAAAAUGAACGUGAUAAGAUAUGUGUUUGGUGAUGAUGAUGAUUAAUUAAAGGUAUACCUGGAUAAUGAGGUUACUUCAGGUGUGAUGUUAUUCAUUGUGAAAGGAAAAUAAAACAGUCAAGAUUGAACAGGAAUAACAUCUGAUAAUAUAUGUAUCUAUAUAAACAGUUACUUAAUCAUCUUCCAAAGUGUACAAACAACAGAUUAUGGCUUAAACUGCAAUAAUUCAGCCAUAAUUCUAAAACUCUCUCUGAAAUACUAAUAAUUUGAUACACAUUUUAUGGUUUGACAUUCACUAAGGUAGAUGGAAAUUUAUUAAUGCAACCAAUCACUUUGACAACUUGAAUCUAUUAAGAGAAAAAUCGGCAGCAUUUUAUAAUCUUUGUCAAGGCUGGAAGGUAGAUAGUGACGGAACAUGUCCAGUGUUUUUUAAUCGUUGCUGUGAUGUAUCUCAGUACUUCAACAAUCAAAGUAUUUAUGCAUGUUUAAAACCCCAUUUCAUGCAUUACACAAUAACUUUUAAAAACCAAGCGUGAUAAAUCCUUCUGUUAUGGAAAAGAAAAAUCCGCAACAAGGACUGAACACGUGUUCAGUUCAGUUUCAUGCACUGCUCGAGUCCUGUAUCCGAGGUAGUGCAGAUGACAUAGCCACCUUUAUAAUGAUAACCUGAACAUACAGAUAAACUCUACCUUUUGAGACGACGCGUAACAAAAAAAAAAAACUUUCUGGUCAGACUGAAUGUAUAAGAAACAUUUACCUUGUACUUGUUAAUUAACGAGUUAAAAUGAAGAUUAAAUCUCGUAGGCGCAGGUGUUACAGUGCUGACGGUGAUGCGAUGUACGAUGUGUUAUGUUGUGGUGAUGUAGCAUGAAGAACACAGCACAAGAGGAACGUUCUCCAGGGUGUGAACUUUAUGUACACCAUCAGGCAGAUUUUCGCUACUAAAUAUUCAACGAGAAUCUCAACGUUUGAUGUCCCGGUUUAUGUGAUGUCAAUAUAGCAGACGUGGCAUAAACUACCUCCACAAAGGCAUGGGUGUCCCCUCGGUUAAUAUAUGAACCACAUGUGAGAAGUAGGUUAAUUGAUGAUCACGUGCUGCAGGUGUGGGGGUACAGCUGUCAUACCUGUCAGUACACUGUUGAGUCGAACACCUGUGCAACUUCACACCUCUGCUCACUCACUCCCCCUGAUGGCCGUGUCUCGCCUGAUAUCCCAUGUUAUUACACAAGACUGAGGAUGGCUGUACUGUCUCUCACUCAUGUAAGGAUGUGGUCCUGUCCAUCAGCGUAGAAUUGCUCGACGCUGAGGAUGAUUCUCCUGUAGUUCACUCUCCGGGAAUCAUCAAUCCUGGAAGGGAAGGAUUCACCGAUGAUGGUGUUACUCUCAAUGAUCCUGCUGGUGGUGGUGGCGGUGGUGGUGAUUGGUGGUCUCUGCCUCUGCUACUUCUUCUCCAUCAGGGCCAUGUGGAGAGGUGGAGGGAGGCAGCCUGUGGCCCACCCAGAGAUCACGUGAGAGUUACUGGGAGACGCUAGGUCAGCCUGGGUCACCUGACGAAGGGCAUAAAAUCAGGAGAUAUUUUUAGCUGUGACCCAUAAACUAUUAACAUCAAACAAUAAUGACUUCAGCAGAGGUCAAGAGUUAAUAAGAGAGCAAUGGAAGUAACACUUAUUAUUAAAUUAUAGACAGUGUGAUUCGCUCAGGUCUAGUGAGUGUAUGUCAAGAAGACAACUGUAAAUAAUAUAUAUCGAAAUCUGAAGUGAGCUGAAGUGUGAGGGACAAUGCCUAGGCCGACAGGUAAAACAGGAGUGUGUUACCUGGGCAAAAUCAGUGUACGGUUGAAAGUGACUGAAGUGUGUGCACAGGUGGAUUAAAAUUAUAAAAUAUCAAUCAUCCAACUUCACGAAACGAGUCAGAACUAUGAAUCACUGAACGCUAAGAUGUGUGUCGACUAUUCAUUAUUGUGGUAUAAAUAAACAUACACUACCACAUGACUUACCACUCUGCCAAACCAUUGUAGUGAGAAAAUCAGCCACAGACUUUUUGUUUCUUAAAUGACAAGAAAAUGCCCGGAUUAAUGCCUUGUGUGCAAAGGUGAAGAAGACGAUUUAAUUACCGUGUUAUAUAUAAGAGAAGACAAUAGUUGCAUACGUAAUGAAGAAAACAAGAAUGACGACAACUUGCUGGAAGACGUCGAAUGAAAACAACAGAAGACAACACAUCAACAGGUCGGGUCACAACACCUCUCAUACCACCGAAGCAGUGACGUCAAAUCGUGGAUCAGUGACGUCAUCAGGAGGUCCAGUGACGUCAGGAACAGCCGGUUAUAACGUUAAAAAUAGCUAGAAAAGGAUGACAGAACAGUUACUCCUUGAGCACCUGGAGCACUGACGUCAUCAACUGUUGGACUAACGAUGUCAUCAAAUGUUAUACAGUGAUGUCAGUAACAAGUGACAGUGACGUUAACUGGUAUUAGGAUCAGUUGAACGACGACGUAAUCAAUAGGUGGACAGAUGACGUCAUCAAAACUGAGCCAACGUUAUUAAUAACCUGUGACGUCAUCGAUAACUGGACCAUUUACGUUAUCAACAGCUGCACCCAUGAGGUCAGCACCACCCCUAUAUUGAGGACGUCAGCUCACAACCAAACCCUCAUCAACCACAAUAAGCCAGUGAAAUAAGAAGCAGCAGCUGAGCCAAUCACGUCUUCAGCAAGUAAAUCCGUGACGUCAUCGGCAACUGAAUCCAUGACGUCAUCAGCAACGUAGCCAAUGACACCAAGAGGAAGUAAUUCAAUGACGUCAUCAACCAGCAGGUGAUGUGGAAGAGUGGCUCCCCAGCAGGUGGUGUGGAGGAAUGACUCCCCCAGCAGGUGGUGUGGAGGAAUGACUUCCCCAGCCGGUGGUGUGGAAGGAAUGACUACCCCAGCAGGUGGUGUGGAGGGUGACGCCCCAGCAGGUGGUGUGGAGGAGUGACGCCCCAGCAGGUGGUGUGGAGGAGUGACGCCCCAGCAGGUGGUGUGUAGUGACGCCCCCAGCAGGUGGUGUGUAGUGACGCCCCCAGCAGGUGGUGUGUAGUGACGCCCCCAGCAGGUGGUGUGUAGUGACGCCCCCAGCAGGUGGUGUGAAGUGGCGCCCCCAGCAGGUGGCUCCUCAUGGUCCCUCAGUCAUAUGUUUGUUGAGGAUUAUUUGACCUCUGAGGGGACGAGCCCGGCAUAUGUCUUCAGCGAGAGUCACCCAACAAAACUGUGACAGGAAUAACACACACACACACACACACACACACACACACACACACACACACACAA